GAUGAAGAACGCAGCGAAAUGCGAUACGUAAUGUGAAUUGCAGAAUUCAGUGAAUCAUCGAGUCUUUGAACGCACAUUGCGCCCCCUGGUAUUCCGGGGGGCAUGCCUGUCCGAGCGUCAUUGCUGCCCUCAAGCAGGGCUUGUGUGUUGGGCCUCCGUCCUCCUCCCGGGGGACGGGCCCGAAAGGCAGCGGCGGCACCGCGUCCGGUCCUCGAGCGUAUGGGGCUUCGUCACCCGCUCUUGUAGGCCCGGCCGGCGCUUGCCGACACAUCAAUCUUUUUUCCAGGUUGACCUCGGAUCAGGUAGGGAUACCCGCUGAACUUAAGCAUAUCAAUAAGCGGAGGA
rnacentral:misc_RNA from 1 species